AUAAUGGGUCAGCGACUUAUAUUCUGUAGCAAGGUUAACCGAAUAGGGGAGCCGAAGGGAAACCGAGUCUUAACUGGGCGUUAAGUUGCAGGGUAUAGACCCGAAACCCGGUGAUCUAGCCAUGGGCAGGUUGAAGGUUGGGUAACACUAACUGGAGGACCGAACCGACUAAUGUUGAAAAAUUAGCGGAUGACUUGUGGCUGGGGGUGAAAGGCCAAUCAAACCGGGAGAUAGCUGGUUCUCCCCGAAAGCUAUUUAGGUAGCGCCUCGUGAAUUCAUCUCCGGGGGUAGAGCACUGUUUCGGCAAGGGGGUCAUCCCGACUUACCAACCCGAUGCAAACUGCGAAUACCGGAGAAUGUUAUCACGGGAGACACACGGCGGGUGCUAACGUCCGUCGUGAAGAGGGAAACAACCCAGACCGCCAGCUAAGGUCCCAAAGUCAUGGUUAAGUGGGAAACGAUGUGGGAAGGCCCAGACAGCCAGGAUGUUGGCUUAGAAGCAGCCAUCAUUUAAAGAAAGCGUAAUAGCUCACUGGUCGAGUCGGCCUGCGCGGAAGAUGUAACGGGGCUAAACCAUGCACCGAAGCUGCGGCAGCGACGCUUAUGCGUUGUUGGGUAGGGGAGCGUUCUGUAAGCCUGCGAAGGUGUGCUGUGAGGCAUGCUGGAGGUAUCAGAAGUGCGAAUGCUGACAUAAGUAACGAUAAAGCGGGUGAAAAGCCCGCUCGCCGGAAGACCAAGGGUUCCUGUCCAACGUUAAUCGGGGCAGGGUGAGUCGACCCCUAAGGCGAGGCCGAAAGGCGUAGUCGAUGGGAAACAGGUUAAUAUUCCUGUACUUGGUGUUACUGCGAAGGGGGGACGGAGAAGGCUAUGUUGGCCGGGCGACGGUUGUCCCGGUUUAAGCGUGUAGGCUGGUUUUCCAGGCAAAUCCGGAAAAUCAAGGCUGAGGCGUGAUGACGAGGCACUACGGUGCUGAAGCAACAAAUGCCCUGCUUCCAGGAAAAGCCUCUAAGCAUCAGGUAACAUCAAAUCGUACCCCAAACCGACACAGGUGGUCAGGUAGAGAAUACCAAGGCGCUUGAGAGAACUCGGGUGAAGGAACUAGGCAAAAUGGUGCCGUAACUUCGGGAGAAGGCACGCUGAUAUGUAGGUGAAG
rnacentral:rRNA from 1 species